GCCUGGGUGGCUCAGUUGGUUGAGCGUCCGGCUUCAGCUCAGGUCAUGAUCUCACAGUUUGUGGGUUCAAGCCCCGCAUUGGGCU
rfam:Felis catus breed Abyssinian Contig163848.1, whole genome shotgun sequence. [26-MAY-2016]